GAUGAACGCUGGCGGCGUGCUUAACACAUGCAAGUCGAACGGUGAAGCCAAGCUUGCUUGGUGGAUCAGUGGCGAACGGGUGAGUAACACGUGAGCAACCUGCCCUGGACUCUGGGAUAAGCGCUGGAAACGGCGUCUAAUACUGGAUAUGAGCCUCUUCCGCAUGGUGGGGGUUGGAAAGAUUUUUUGGUCUGGGAUGGGCUCGCGGCCUAUCAGCUUGUUGGUGAGGUAAUGGCUCACCAAGGCGUCGACGGGUAGCCGGCCUGAGAGGGUGACCGGCCACACUGGGACUGAGACACGGCCCAGACUCCUACGGGAGGCAGCAGUGGGGAAUAUUGCACAAUGGGCGAAAGCCUGAUGCAGCAACGCCGCGUGAGGGAUGUCGGCCUUCGGGUUGUAAACCUCUUUUAGCAGGGAAGAAGCGAAAGUGACGGUACCUGCAGAAAAAGCGCCGGCUAACUACGUG
rnacentral:rRNA from 1 species